rnacentral:pre_miRNA from 1 species
CCUCUGAAACUCUCUAAUGGUGUCUGGGCAAAGGAUGAAGCUGUGAUGUUUGGCACCAGAACACCACAGUGUCAGGCAGCCACACUUCGGGGAGAACACUUG